rnacentral:rRNA from 1 species
UGGUUGGUACAACGAGUUUGCGAGUCGGUGACGGCGAGCUAAUCUCUUAAAGCCAAUCUCAGUUCGGAUUGUAGGCUGCAACUCGCCUACAUGAAGUCGGAAUCGCUAGUAAUCGCGGAUCAGCACGCCGCGGUGAAUACGUUCCCGGGCCUU